AGGAAAACCCCACUCUACCAGCUCUACCUUGAUGCAAGAGAGGAGGCUCUCACUGAUGACCUACCAGAUCUUGACACAAGGGCUGCACUUUUAUUCCUGCCAUACGUCUUCAAGGAGAAACUGGAUCUCUUUGUCAUACUUGGAGAGGUUCAUCCUAAAACCCC